GCUUACUGCCAUACCACCCUGAACACGCCCGAUCUCGUCCGAUCUCGGAAGCUAAGCAGGGUCGGGCCUGGUUAGUACUUGGAUGGGAGACCGCCUGGGAAUACCAGGUGCUGUAAGCU
rnacentral:rRNA from 1 species